CCUCCUUCGCCUCUGCAUCUCACGCGCAGUGGCUGGCGACGCGCUCAAAGACGGCCUACGACAGAGAGGAAUAGAGGUAGGCCGCCGAAGGAGAGGACGACUCGCAGGCGCCUUCAAUGCGCGCCUUUAGUGCUGAGAUGAGACGUCGGUUCGGUCGAGGGAGAGGCCGGUCGGCGCGCCAAAGACCGCCGGCCAAGGCCUCCGUCGACCGGCCUUCGCGCCUAUAAAUAGGGCAUCGGAGAGGAAGAGAAGGGCCACCGACGCCGCGAAGGAUCAAGGGCUGCAAGCUUCAAACCUCCCCGAAAGACUUCAGGGAGGCCCGGGGACGAGCAGGCCGAGAUCCGAGGUAGCCAGCUCCGAUCACUUCCUCCAAGAGACAUCAGAAGAGGUCCGAGAGCCGGCCAACCCUAGGAUCCAGAUCUAGCUGGAGCGGAAGAAGCCGAGGCCGCAGAAGGUCGGAGCCGGAGAGAGUGAGUUCCGGAGGGAGAGGGUCGACCAAGGUCCAGAUCUGGAGGUCAAUUCAGCUCUGCCGCAGCCCCGACGCCGUCCAGAUCUGAGUGAUCCACUGCCUUAUCCAUCAAUUUAUUGUGAAUGUGGAGGUCGUAAGAAGUACCCGAUCGAAGCAUCUUCCUUGAAAAAAGCCAUCGGCAUCGCCAAGUUACAAAAGCCGCUGGAAUCGUCAUAUUAUGUCCAAAAGGGUGACCCUGCACUUGCAAGAUGGAUCGAAGGAGGAAGCCGCCGAGACGAGACUGAAAUCCCUUCUCCCUCUAUCACUGAAAAGCCUCUCUUCGCCUGUCGAGUGGCCACUUGCUGAACUCGCCUUCAUUGCCUGAAGAUGAUUUGGAGAAGCAUCGCCUGAAAAGAAAGCGGCGAAUCAUCUGCACAAGAAGAUGUUCAUUUACAUUUAGGAUCGACAGUACUUACAGCCUGAGGUUCAGAAGAUCUGACCCCGCUCUUGCUUCAUUUUCAUUUGCUUCAACAGUUGGAGGCACGAAAAUUUUGACUGAUGCUGGAUACCCGGGCGAAAGAUACCUUUCUAUCGAAUCACCCCUAAUUUAUUGAUGGAUUAACAAUGUUGUCAAAGUCAA